GGAGUGAUUAAGAUGUUGGACUAACAAUCCAAUAGGGUUUCCCUGCGCAGGUUCAAAUCCUGCUCACAGCA
rnacentral:tRNA from 1 species